rnacentral:rRNA from 1 species
AUGCGUAGGGUGCAAGCGUUAAUCGGAAUUACUGGGCGUAAAGCGUGCGCAGGCGGUUUUGUAAGACAGUGGUGAAAUCCCCGGGCUCAACCUGGGAACUGCCAUUGUGACUGCAAGGCUGGAGUGCGGCAGAGGGGGAUGGAAUUUCGCGUGUAGCAGUGAAAUGCGUAGAUAUGCGGAGGAACACCGAUGGCGAAGGCAAUCCCCUGGGCCUGCACUGACGCUCAUGCACGAAAGCGUGGGGAGCAAACAGGAUUAGAUACCCUGGUAGUCCACGCCCUAAACAAUGUCAACUGGUUGUUGGGGAUUUAUUUUCUCAGUAACGAAGCUAACGCGUGAAGUUGACCGCCUGGGGAGUACGGCCGCAAGGUUAAAACUCAAAGGAAUUGACGGGG